CCCGGUUAUUAUUGACAACACCAACAUCCAUGCUUGGGAAAUGAAGCCGUAUGUGAUGAUGGCACAUGAAAAUAGAUAUGAAGUUACAUUCCAAGAACCGGAUACACCCUGGAAGUUCAAUGUUCAAGAACUGACAAGGCAUCUGGAAAAAUUACCAUUAGAAGACAAAGAUCCUUUUGAAUUGUGACAUCUAGUACCAGUUUCAGAAGAUUUGAACAAAGAGUUAUCAUCAUCCAAGUCUCUGAAGAGCUCUGCAGACCUACUCAAAGCUGCUUUUGAAAUAUUUAUUUUUUUACCUCCAGCUGAAGUAAAGCCUAUGAAAUUAGAAAAGCUGUCCUGCUUAGCUAUGGGAAAGCUCUCAUCAGAUCUUCUUUCAUUUAUGUCUAAGUUAGUAAAAGUAACCUUUUUAUCAUUUCCGUGGAAAAA